UAGGGAUGUGCUUUGGAGAGAAUGAAGUGAAUUCAGUAUGAUGGAGCACAGACUAUAUGGUCAAAUCAGCCUAGAUUUAAACCGGGCUCCUAUUCCCUAUCAUCUGCAUUAUCUUGGGUUUGUGAGUCAACUUUAUGGGUCUAUUGGGAGCAGCAGUUCUUCCUGGCCCCUGGAUGUACUGAUUCCGGUGCAGUCCUCUGACCAUAUUGGGAAGGAUAUGUAAAAUGAUACGAGUUUCAGGGAAUAAGAAUGGGGGUGAGAGGAAUCACUGAGGAUGCCCAAGGACAAAGCAGCCGGAACAAGGUCACAAGGUUGACAAGCAAAAAGAGUUCUGAAGACCCUGACCUUUCAGGAAGUGUAUCAUAUGUGA
rnacentral:lncRNA from 1 species